rnacentral:rRNA from 1 species
GCUGGAAAAGUGCGUCCAAGCCGCAAGUCUGGUGGCGAGUGAAAUGCUUGCGACCAUAAGGACAAGCGGUGAUGGGGAGCGAAAUUAAAGUAGCGAAGUUCCUGAUGUCACACUGCCAAGAAAAGCUUCUAGUGAGAAAUAAACUACCCGUACCGCAAACCGACACAGGUAGUCGAGGAGAGUAUCCUCAGGUGAGCGAGCGAACUCUCGUUAAGGAACUCGGCAAAAUGACCCCGUAACUUCGGAAGAAGGGG